AGAGGAAAGCAGUCAGGAGAGAUUUAGUUCUCCAGCACAAAACAAUGCAUGGCUCGUGUUGCAGUUGCAGCCACACCUUCAAGGGCUAGCUAGAUUCCUCAUCAAAUACAGGUCAAACCCUAGAUCAGUAUAUUUACCUCUCUGAUGAUCUUGGUUCUUUCUUCCGAAUCUCCUAUUUUCUGAUGAUGAUGUGUUGGUUUGAGAGCUUGAAGCUGCCAGCAUGAUCUAGUGAGACCAAACCCAUCUUUUCUUUGAGUUUCUUUCUUUCCUUUUAUAUUUUCAAAGUUUUUUAAAUAUUCAUCGAUACGUAUUGAUAUUUUAAAUAUGCCCCAAUAGCAUGUUUGGUGAUAAUGUCUGGUAUCGACUGAUAUACCAAUCUUUUUUCUUUUUUCUUUUUCUUUUUUCUUUUUGAGUUUCUCUCUUUCUUUCAUCUUUUCAAUAGAGGGUUUUAAAUACUAAUCGAUACGGAUCGGGACAUUGAAUUUCCCUUUUGAUAUUGAUCGAUACUGUUAUUUAAAAUCAUAUUCCAAUAUUGAUGGGCCAGAUGAUAGAUGUGGAUCUUGUUGAUCUUGAUUUUUUUUAGUGAAUAAAUGGUGGGUUUUUAGUGGGAUGUUAUGGAUGAGUGAGACUGCUAGUUAGGUUUGUUUUCCCAGUUUAUUUUGAGACAACCAAGGGUUUUUUUUAAGUCUGCCUUUGAAACGACAACCGAUAGAAUUGGAACGAUACAAAAAAAAAAAAAAAAAAAAAAAAGAUUUUGAGUUCGAGCUGCAUAGACACAUGGUUCUACUAGAUCAUCUUGCAGCUUCAAUCACUCACUUCCCAACAAUAAGAAGAAUUUCCUCCUCUUGUUUGCCGUUUCAAUCCGGGAGGAUGAUGGCAAGAGUUGUUGAAAUUUCAAGCUUAAUGAUUCACUGGUUCUCAGCUGGCUUGGGUGACACGUGGCAGAAGUCCAUUGGAACAACCCUUUAAGCAACCUAUCAUGCUGUGACACGUGGCAUAGAGGUCCUUUUGUCCUUGGGUGGUCAAAGCAAAAUAUUCAACGAAAUAUGCUUGAAUUCAAUUUCCAACAUAGGAGGGCACUAUAAAUGUGGGUAGUACUACUUCUAGAUGAUGUGCAAGUGUGAAUUGGGAAAGUAGUAAAUUAAUAAGAGAAUUGUUAUAUGUAAUCCAUUUUUUUAUAUUUGUAUCAUUGUCAAUAUAAAUAUUUAAUAUAAUUCAAUAAUAUCUUCUAAUAUGUUUAGCAUUCA